rnacentral:tRNA from 1 species
GGGCUCGUAGCUCAAUUGGUAGAGCGCCGCUAUGGCAUAGCGGAGGUAACGGGUUCGAAUCCCGUCGAGUCCA